rnacentral:lncRNA from 1 species
UAUCAAAGAAUCUUGAUCAUAUUCUGAGAUUUAAAAAAAAUGUUUCCUUAUUUAAAAUAAUUCAUUUUAAAGCAGAAAGAUCAUUUUGUCUAUUUGACUUGGAGGUUUCACAAUUGUAUGACAUUAUUUUUGAUCUUUCAAUUUAAAUAUGACUAUUUAUCUUACCUCCUAUACAUUUCUAGGAAUGUGAUUGGUUAAAAGCGCCCUCGUGGAGACCGUGUAUAUUUGAUAUUAGGUUAGUAGGGAGGCGGGGCUUAUCUCAUACACGGUUAGUAGUGGAGUUACGUCCCUUUAUAUUCCAUAUAAGGUAGUAGGGAGGCGGGGCUUAUUUCAUACACGGUUAGUAGUGGUGUUACGUCCCUUUAUAAAAACAAACCGGUACUGAGAAAAAAAUCGUAAAGGUUUAAACAGACGAAGAAAUUGAUGAUUAAGAGUGAAAUAAAUUAUUUCAUAUAACACAUUGAAACCUCACAACAAGGAUUUGUAUAGUGAGAAGGAUUGGAAUCUCGCGGUAUCUCGUUAGUUCACGCGUAUCGUGAGAAGUCAUAAACUCGCCACUUAUACCAGGAUACUCGCUUGUAUUGUAAAUAUCCGGUUUUAUCGCUUGGUUGACAACGUUAUGAAAA